AUGAAUGCUGGCGGCGUGUCUAAGGCAUGCAAGUCGAACGGAUAUUACAAUGUAGCAAUACAAGGUAAUAUUAGUGGCAAACGGGAGCGUAACACAUUGGCAACUUUCCUUGUACUCAAGAAUAACCGCUGGAAACGGCGGCUAAUACUCGAUAUGGAUGGGGGGACAUAUGUCAUUCCCAUUGAAAGAUUUAUCGGUACAAGAUUGGCCUAUGGUCCAUCAGGUAGUUGGCGGGGUAACGGCCCACCAAGCCUAUGACGGAUACCAGGCGCGAGAGCGUGACCUGGCUCACUGGGACUGAGAACUGCCCAGACACCUACGGGUGGCUGCAGUCGAGAAUAUUCCGCAAUGCACGAAAGUGUGACGGAGCGACGCCGCGUGUCGAAUGAAGGCCUUCGGGUUGUAAACGACUUUUAUCAGGGACGAAUCUUGACGGUACCUGAAGAAUAAGGGGUUGCUAACUCUGU
rnacentral:rRNA from 1 species